AGGUGUCGCAAGACUUAAUAGGGAAGCCGGUAAAAUCCGGCGCGGUCCCGCCACUGUAACAGCGAGCGACUCCGCAGAUAUGUCACUGGAGAGGGAAAAAGCCUCUUUGGGAAGGCGCGGAGGAGCGAUGAACUGGAGCCAGGAGAACUGCCUGAUU
rnacentral:ncRNA from 1 species